rfam:Dipodomys ordii contig_31976, whole genome shotgun sequence.
GGUGGCUCAGUGGUAGAGUGCUUGCCUUAUAAGCAUGAGGCCCUGGGUUCGAUUCCUCAGCACCA